GAGUAGGACGGAUGCGUCAAGUGCCACCUGAUGGGAGUUGCAGAUGGACGAAGGCCAUAGCCGCGGUAUCCGUCUGCAUCCGCU
rnacentral:ncRNA from 1 species